rnacentral:lncRNA from 1 species
ACUAAAUGAAAACAGAUUUGAUUACUUGAAGACGACUUGAGCCUGCAAUAGGCCCAAUUACCUUAAACACAAAGGGCCAACAUGAACAACCGACGUUUAAGGAAGGGAACAUGUGAGGCUGGAUUUUGAGAUUGAGCCCACACCUUGAAGUGGCAAGCAGCCUUUCUCCGAUUUGACCAGGGCCCAAAGUAUGCCCAACGUACACCAUUAGCUAUCAAUUCAGGCCACAAAAUGGGCCAGCCAUAAACUCAAUGCUUAAUGAGUAGUCGAAUUCUAACACAUGAUUAAUUCAUACACAAAAUGCGUAAGAGAAUUGAUUUCAAACAAUGCUAACUGCCAAUACAUGAUUAUGUCAUAACUCUAAAAUCAAAAUUCAAAUUGUUUAAUACGACAUUACUUUUAUGCAAUUAACUCUCUUCACUUAAAGAAUUAAAACAUGUUAUAGACCUUGAAACAACUGAACUCCCAAUCUAAUGACCAUUCCUGUUAUUAGACAUGCUAAAACCACCAUUCCAGCUUUAAAAAAUAAUCCAAAGCUGUUGAUGAAUUGACUAAUGAAAAUCUCUUGAAUCACUAUUAUUAUCCCUUCCAAACACAUGAAUUCUAGAUUAUGAAAUUAUUAUGAUCCUCAUAAUAAUUACAAGAAGACAGACUAUCAAUCACAAUGAGAUCAGCAUUGUAAUACCCACAUCCCUUACUAUUCUUACAAUAUAAGACCUACAUUUUCAUCAAUCAAAUAUUUGAAAAAAAAACAGUCCUAAAUGAUUACCAUUGAGUAUAAAAACUUGUAAACCACUUACAAAUAAGCUAAAAAAAUUAACCUAAACAUUAAACCAUCCAUCUAUAUUAAAUCAAUAGCGAUCAUACUUUAAACAGACUGAAGCCAUAUCAUGAAAAAUAGGAAAAGAAAAGCAUUCAUCCAAACGAACAAGAAGUCACAUUGCAAAUCAACAAUUUACAAGUCCGUUCAUCACUUCAAGUUCAUGUCAACUUCAUGAAUAUACCUGGAACAAUAGGAAAUCAACAACAAAACUUCAACAAAUGAAUGGAAAUAUCGGCAACAUCUAAACAAGAACUAACAACAUCUCAUCAACCAGCUUUUCAUGCUUGAAACUAGAAGAAAACAAUAAUUUUCUAGCCAUUAAAACCCCAAAAAUGAAGAAAUCAGCCACAAGAGACCAAUAUUUUUCCUAAUUUUUGUGUUUUCUUACUAAUUCCCAACCUUCAGUAGUGAGUGUAGCCGUUUCUAAAUUUUAAUCUAUGUAAUCUUUGCUCAUUUUAUUGAAAGCAAACCUUAUAUAGAUGACCUUAGGGCAGCAGAAUUGGUUUUCAACUUUGUCAUUUACCCCUUCCCUGAUUUUUCAUUAUUUCAUUUUAAACCCCAAAUUUUAAAACCAUUUACUGAAACUACCAAAUACCCUCUUUCCUGGAAGCUUCCCAAUCAUUUUUUAAAAGAUUUUUAAAUUUAAAUUCCACAAAUACCCUUUAGUCCCCUGUUAUUUACUCUCAAGAAAAAACAUGUGUCAAAUUGAAAUAGAACCAAACCCAAACCUAACCCCAUGGCCUGGAAAACCAACAUUUACUCUUCCCAUCUUUGGGCUUCAGACUGAUAGAGCCCAAAUUUUAAUUCAAAACCAAACCCACAAGAAAAUGGGCCAACGGAGUUAUAAGAACUCCAGAAUCUAUAAAAACAAAAAUAAGAGGAAAUCUGAGCAAAAUUAAAUAACAAAAUCAAUUGAACUACAACAUGCCGACUAAAACGACUUAAACUUAACAUGCACACAUAAACGGGUUUUUAAAAAAAACAAGAAGGAAGAGAAAGAACUAGAAAAGGAUGAGGAUUAGACUAAGACGAAAAAGAAAAAUGAACGAAGAUACGUAAUUAGGCAAACAAACAAUGGGCUUGGACAGACUUCCGAUGGUCUCCGAUUUAAACCAAAAUGAGUGUAAUCGACUGUUCUUAUGAGAACAAUCGACUAACACUCAUUUUAGGCCAAAAUCAUCUUCAACAAUUGGAUAACAAUGAACCCAGGCCUUUUGCAUAAAGAAUCAAAGGCGGGAACAUAUCUAGGGUUCCGUAUUAGAUAUUAAUUUAAGGGAAACUAGUGGGGAUUCUGGGGAAAUUGACACAUGACUAGUGUUUUAGGGAGUGUGGGGAGUGUAUGGUUAUAUUUUGGUGGAAUUUGGAGCUUCAAUUCCGGUGAAAAUCAUAGCAGUAUGAAGGGCAGCGGGUUAGGGUUGGACGUCUGAGAGAUAGGAGAAGUAAAGUGAAAAAGGGUAG